rnacentral:rRNA from 1 species
AAUGAACGUUGGCGGCGUGGAUUAGGCAUGCAAGUCGCGCGAGAAGUCAUUGAUUGAAGCUUCGGCUGAUUGAUUUGAUGGACAGCGGCGAAAGGGAGAGUAACGAGUGGAUUACCUACCUUCAGGACCGGGAUAGCUGCGGGAAACUGCAGGUAAUACCGGAUAAUAUCUCCGGAUCAAAUGGUGAGAUUCCGCCUGGAGAUGGGUCCGCUUCCUAUUAGCUUGUUGGUGGGGUAACGGCCUACCAAGGCGAUGAUGGGUACCGGGUGUGAGAGCAUGGCCCGGCUCACUGGGACUGAGACACUGCCCAGACACCUACGGGUGGCUGCAGUCGAGAAUCUUCCGCAAUGGACGCAAGCCUGACGGAGCGACGCCGCGUGCGGGAUGAAGGCCCUCGGGUUGUAAACCGCUGUCAGUUGGGAGGAAAUCUAUAGGGGCACUCUCCUAUAGUUGACCUAUCUUCAGAGGAAGGACGGGCUAAGUUCGUG